rnacentral:other from 1 species
GAAUCCCUACUGAGCGCGUGAACAGCCGUUGAGUUUUUGCCAACACCAUUAAUACGGGAGCCUGGGCUCCGUGUAAGGGCGUGUGAGGCCCAUUUCUGGGAUACACAAAGCUACAUGGGAGGGCACCCACCUGCUGAGCAGGUUAAAACUUGAGGCGUCACGGCCUGGUGGGGUUUUU